UACGUAGGGUGCAAGCGUUGUCCGGAAUUAUUGGGCGUAAAGAGCUCGUAGGCGGUCUGUUGCGUCGGCUGUGAAAACCCGAGGCUCAACCUCGGGCCUGCAGCCGAUACGGGCAGACUAGAGUUCGGCAGGGGAGACUGGAAUUCCUGGUGUAGCGGUGAAAUGCGCAGAUAUCAGGAGGAACACCGGUGGCGAAGGCGGCACUCUGGGCUGGUACUGACGCUGAGGAGCGAAAGCGUGGGGAGCGAACAGG
rnacentral:rRNA from 1 species